AUUGAACGCUGGCGGCAUGCUUUACACAUGCAAGUCGAACGGCAGCGCGGGCUUCGGCCUGGCGGCGAGUGGCGAACGGGUGCGUAAUGCAUCGGAACGUGCCCAGUAGUGGGGGAUAGCCCGGCGAAAGCCGGAUUAAUACCGCAUACGACCUGCGGGUGAAAGCGGGGGACCGAAAGGCCUCGCGCUAUUGGAGCGGCCGAUGUCGGAUUAGCUAGGUGGUGGGGUAAAGGCUUACCAAGGCGACGAUCCGUAGCUGGUCUGAGAGGACGACCAGCCACACUGGGACUGAGACACGGCCCAGACUCCUACGGGAGGCAGCAGUGGGGAAUUUUGGACAAUGGGGGCAACCCUGAUCCAGCCAUGCCGCGUGCGGGAAGAAGGCCCUCGGGUUGUAAACCGCUUUUGUUCGGGAAGAAAUCCUCUGGGCUAAUACCCCGGGGGGAUGACGGUACCGGAAGAAUAAGCACCGGCUAACUACGUG
rnacentral:rRNA from 1 species